rnacentral:tRNA from 1 species
UUAUAAAUUAUAAGGUUUUCCUUCUGUGUUU